rnacentral:lncRNA from 1 species
GUUUUCUUGAUUUUUUUUCUAGUGUCCACUACUUUAGGAUAAACUAAAUUAAGUUGUAUUUAUGAAUUGCAGUCCAGAUUUAUUGGGAAUUUUUCCAUUCCCAUAAUAAGUGGAGCAUGAAGGCUGAUGUUUCUGUUGCUAUAGUUUGGAAGAUCUAACUCAGGUUUGGCUAAUUCUUUUCCUUUUUCUUGUCUUCUUUCAGAUAUUCAUACUGUGGAAUCAAUCCACCAUCAGUAGGAAUUUUUCCUGUCACCACUGUGGCCUUUUGGUGCUGGGUGAGAAAUUGCAGCAGAGGGAGAAUCCUAAUUUAUCGAGGCCUCCUCUUCUUGAAGGUGUGGAAGGACUGAGCUGUGGAAGAUGAAACAGAGAUGUCUGCACUGGAGUGAAAUGUCCAGGCUGACUUCAUUUUUUGCCAAGAUUGACACAGACUUCUGAGUAGGUUUUCUUUAAUUUGGCAAAUACAUUGGAUUAUCCAUGCAAAAAAAGAAGCCAACUAAAUUCCAGAAAUAUGUUUCAAAAUUUGAAAAGAAACAGGCAUAAAGAGUUUCUUUUUUAAAAAAAUAAUUGUUAUUUUGAAAUAACAUCUCGUCUAAAGCUGGCUAAAACUAAAUAGCUGUUUUUUAGGUUAAAGUGUAUAGCUAAAAACAAAGGUUAUUUGACUCAAAACAACAUCUGUUGUUUGUUCUAAGCAAACUAGAAAUUGAUUGACCCAGAAUUGAUUAAAAAUUGUAGUCUUUCACCAAGCCAAAAACUAAUAAUGUUUUUUUUCAUAGAUCUAGUGAAGUACAUCUCAACAUUAUAAACUGAAAUAUCUGAGCUCUAUGUGAAAUCACAUUACAAAAUCCCUAUUGCCAUUCAUGAGGAAAAUUACUGUUUGCAGCCCCUAACCACUUCAUAUAUGUCAUUUCUCUGGAGAUCAUAUGAUUUUUAUUUACUGGAAAAGUGUCUCUGAUGAACAGACAGUAAUUAAUUAAAUACAUUAGUCUGUUUUGUUUAAAGACCAGACUUACAGGAUGGAUCUGUUUCUAAUAGAGAAGAUGUGAGUGAUCCUUGUCCAGACUACUGUAAAACAGAACAGAACAGAAAAAAAGAACAGAAAAAAACAAAGCCAAACAAAAAUAAAACAAACCAAGAAAUAAAGGGAUUGG